GCACAACGCGAAGAACCUUACCCACCUUUGACAUGUACGGAAUCCUUUAGAGAUAGAGGAGUGCUCGAAAGAGAGCCGUAACACAGGUGCUGCAUGGCUGUCGUCAGCUCGUGUCGUGAGAUGUUGGGUUAAGUCCCGCAACGAGCGCAACCCUUGCCAUUAGUUGCUACGAAAGGGCACUCUAAUGGGACUGCCGGUGACAAACCGGAGGAAGGUGGGGAUGACGUCAAGUCCUCAUGGCCCUUAUAGGUGGGGCUACACACGUCAUACAAUGGCUGGUACAAAGGGUUGCCAACCCGCGAGGGGGAGCUAAUCCCAUAAAGCCAGUCGUAGUCCGGAUCGCAGUCUGCAACUCGACUGCGUGAAGUCGGAAUCGCUAGUAAUCGUGGAUCAGAAUGUCACGGUGAAUACGUUCCCGGGUCUUGUACACACCG
rnacentral:rRNA from 1 species